AGCGAGCCACGCCCUCUUGGUCCGGUUCCUCGCCACCAAUCUGUAUCGCCUGCUGCCCCGCAGAGUCACGCCAAGCUCAUCCAUCCACACACAAAUCUUCAAAGAUAAGAAAUAAUAAUAGAAUAGUUUUGCAGUAUUUUAUUUUUCCUCUGGGGAAAUUAUCUUCGUGGUUUGAUGGCAAUAAGCUCUUCUUGUUUUAGUAAUGUUGGAUGGAGUCCCAUUUCGUAUCCAGGCGCAAACACUGGAAAAUCUCUCUGCUUCAGGCAUGGUCCAGUGGGUUUAGCUUCCUCAAAGGAGGAAACUCCCAGGCCCUCGCUUCGUAUCUCGGCAAAUUCAGUCCAGAGAGCCCGAUUCAUUGCUCGGCGUAAAGAGUCUGUUUCGGUUCGCCAACUCCAACGGCCUCUAGUUGAGUAUAUGAGCUUGCCCGCGAGUCAGUACUCGGUGUUGGAUGCGGAGCGGAUUGAGAGGGUGGAUGAAAACACGUUUAGGUGUUAUGUGUAUAGGAUUAAAUUCUUCUCGUUCGAGGUUUGCCCCGUUUUGCUCGUCAGAGUGGAAGAGCAGCCCAAUGGGUGUUGCAUUAGGCUCUUGUCCUGCAAGCUUGAGGGUUCGCCGAUUGUUGCUGCACAGAAUGACAAAUUUGACGCUUCUAUGGUGAACCAAAUAUCAUGUGAGAGCAACAAAAGCAACUCGUUGGUGCAACAACUGACCUCAGAUACUGUCAUUGAGGUUGGCAUUGAGGUUCCUUCGGCAUUUCGUCCAAUUCCAGUGCAAGCAAUUGAAUCAACUGGCACCCAAGUCCUUGAGCAAAUACUACGGAUUAUGCUACCCCGGUUUAUGGCACAGGUUUGUCAAAAUUAUAAUUAGCUUUCAAUUUUAUCAAAUAAAAAAUUUGCAGUUUGCUACUCACAAACAAUUCACUCUAAUCAAAAUUUACCUGGAGUUCUUACAUGUCUCCUUAUCUCUCACUUGUCCUUUUUUUUUUGCUUGAGGUCUUGUUGAUUCUUCCCUAAUUCUAUAUUUUUUAUAAGUGAUUCUUCCCAAAUUCUUGACACUUGACGUCUUGGAAAUAGUGUUAACUAGUCUACUGCUGUUUCAAUGUAUUUUAGACUUUUUGGGAUAUGUUGAGAUAUCCCAAUGCUGAGAUAUGUUCUCCAAGUUUUGGUAGUGGAAAUCAACAUCUAGUAUGGAAUAUAUUCUGUAUUGGUGUCCUGGCAAAUCAAAUAGUUAAUUUCUGUUGUUGAGCAUUUAAAGGUAGGAACCACCAUCUGACUUUCAGAGAAAGGCAUUCAAUAUUAGAUUGGGUGCCCGUGUCUCACCUUUCAACGCUAUAAAUUUUUAUCUCUUCUACUUAUCAAAAAAGUUUUGCUCUCUUUUGGCGGCCAGCAACAUCAUAAGUUUAAGAUAUGACUCUCUAUUAGUUCGUAUUUUUAGUUGUUAUCAAUUGUGCAAGGAUUGUACUUGGUAAUAAAUGCUGAGCCCAUAUGUUAGCAAAUGCAUAACGCAAGUCUGCAAGACCUUGGAAUCACAAUAAUAACAAGAAUGCAAUGUCACAUUUCACAUUUCAAUAAAAUGUAGAUAAUUUUAUUUUCUGCAAGUCUAUUGGAUGAGCUUCCAUUUUGAUUCUUAUGGGUCCUCUCAUUAGUAUUAAAAAUAUCGGAUAAUAAUUUUCUUGUGGCAAACAAUUUCUGGCUCAUGUACUGUAGAGCCAAAUAUGUUUGAUUCUUAUCGGAUGUGUUGUAUUUCAUUAUUGGCUGUGCAGCUUGUGAAGGACUAUCAAGCAUGGGCUUCUGGUGA